rnacentral:rRNA from 1 species
CCCUUAGAUGUCCUGGGCUGCACGCGCGCUACACUGAUGUGUCCAGUAAGCACCUAACCUCUUCCGAAAGGAACGGGUAACCUUUGCAAAGCACAUCGUGAUGGGGAUAGAUUAUUGCAAUUAUUAGUCUUGAACGAGGAAUUCCUAGUAAACGCAAAUCAUCAAUUUGCAUUGAUUACGUCCCUGCCCUUUGUACACACCGCCCGUCGCACCUACCGAUUGAAUGGUCCGGUGAAGCCUCGGGAUUGUGGCCAGUUCACUUUAUUGGGAGUUGGCUGUGAGAACUUGUCUAAACCUUAUCAUUUAGAGGAAGGUGAAGUCGUAACA